UCAGUUGUGGUCUAGUGGUUAAGGAUUUGUGGUUUUCACCCGCAAGGCCCGGGUUCGAUUCCCGGCAACGGAA
rnacentral:tRNA from 1 species